rnacentral:piRNA from 1 species
UUCGCAUCCCAGGACUCUCUGGCAUUGCUUU